rnacentral:rRNA from 1 species
GACGAACGCUGGCGGCGUGCUUAACACAUGCCAGUCGAACGAUGAAGAAAAGAAUCGAAGCUUCGGCAGAAAUUCAUUUCGGAUUAGUGGCAGACGGGUGAGUAACGCGUGAGCAACCUACCUCUUACAAAGGGAUAGCCUCGGGAAACCGGGAUUAAUACCAUAUAACAUUGUGACGAAGCAUUUCGAUGCAAUCAAAGCUACGGCGGUAAGAGAUGGGCUCGCGUCCCAUUAACCGGAUGGUGAGGUAACGGCUCACCAUAGUGACGAUGGGUAACCGGGCUGGGGAGGUGGACGGUCCCACUGGAACUGGGGACCCGUCCCAAAUCCUACGGGAGGGCGGCAUGGGGAAUAUUGCACAAUGGAGGGAACUCUGAUGCAGCGACGCCGCGUGAGUGAUGAAGGAAUUCGUUUCGUAAAACUCUGUUCUAUGGGAAGAAAAGGACUGUACCAUAGGAGAAAGCUCCGGCUAAAUACGUG